AGUGGUCCAGCUAAUUUCUUUCUAUUUGUAGUAGAGAAAGGGUCUCACUCUUGCUCAGGCUGGUCUCAAACUCCUGAGCUCAAGCAAUCCUCCUGCCUUAGCCCCCCAGAGUGCUAGGAUUACAGGCGUAGCCACUGUGUCUGGCCAAUCCCAGGUUUUCUAUUCCCUUACCACUGUGCCAUACUAAAUACUGGGGCUACCACUCUUCUAGUAAUGAAAGUCUGUGCUAAUCUAGUCUUCCCCCCAUUGUUGCUUAACCUUUAGGCUUUGGUUUCUUGUCUGUCUAUUACAUUCUAAGUACUCCAGGGCAGGAAUCAGAUGUAAGCUUUGUAUUCUCAAAGGUAUCUCUCAAAUUUAAAUCUCAAGUCUUUGAUACUGUUGAGAAUCUUCAGUAUAAAUAUUUAUCAACAUUUGCAUUGACUCAAUGAUUUAGAUGACUAUAAAAGGCAGGUUGUUUCCUCCCCACUGAAGGCGGUGUGGAGAGGUGCACCAGUCCCAAGAGUGGCCCCUCGCUAUGGUGGAUGCUGGCUGUUUUCAUCACAGUGGGUGGCGUUCUGGACUCUGCCCUCAGACUUUCGUUCUAUCUCAGUGCCUUAGCAUUCUACUCGUUGAACAGACUGGAAGUGAAACCAUAGGCUCAUUUCUCACGAUAGGACACGAUGUGCAAGGAAGUUAAAAAAAGAGACCAAAGGAGAACAGACCUGCCUUGUUCCCUUUAAUCACAGGUUGGAAUGGAAUCGAUGUGCCAUGCAAGUCUAAUCACUAACAAAGCAUGCUGGUACCCUUCCCUGGUAAUCGUACCCUCCCCCACCCCACUGGGAACCCAUAAACUACCUUUUAAGCUCCCGUGGAAGAAGUCUGACUACGUAGACACCAUACUAAGAGGAAGACUAAGCUGAGACGCGGAC
rnacentral:lncRNA from 1 species